rnacentral:rRNA from 1 species
AUUGAACGCUGGCGGCAGGCCUAACACAUGCAAGUCGAGCGAGCGGCGGACGGGUGAGUAAUGUAUGGGGAUCUGCCUGAUAGUGGGGGAUAACUACUGGAAACGGUAGCUAAUACCGCAUAUCAUCGGAUGAACCCAUAUGGGAUUAGCUAGUAGGUGGGGUAAAGGCUCACCUAGGCGACGAUCUCUAGCUGGUCUGAGAGUAUGAACAGCAGCACUGGAACUGAGACACGGCCCAGACUCCUACGGGAGGAAGCAGUGGGGAAUAUUGCACAAUGGGCGCAAGCCUGAUGCAGCCAUGCCGCGUGUAUGAAGAAGGCCUUAGGUUUGUAAGGUACAUUCAGCGGGGAGGCGUUACCCGCAGAAGAAGCACCGGCUAACUCCGUGCCAGCAGCCGCGGUAAUUC